rnacentral:rRNA from 1 species
UACGUAGGGUGCAAGCGUUAAUCGGAAUUACUGGGCGUAAAGCGUGCGCAGGCGGUUCGCUAAGACAGAUGUGAAAUCCCCGGGCUUAACCUGGGAACUGCAUUUGUGACUGGCGGGCUAGAGUAUGGCAGAGGGGGGUAGAAUUCCACGUGUAGCAGUGAAAUGCGUAGAGAUGUGGAGGAAUACCGAUGGCGAAGGCAGCCCCCUGGGCCAAUACUGACGCUCACGCACGAAAGCGUGGGGAGCAAACAGG